AAAGCUGAAAUGUGACCGCGUCCCGGUCCCUUCCUGCUCUGGGGCGCGAAGCUGCCAAGAAACCGGCUGCGGUCUCCAGGAGGGGCCAGGAGGCAAAAUGGAAGGAAGCGCUGGAUCUCCGCGGCGGAAGUCAUUCUUAUGCCCUGCCAAAGGGUAGAGGGCAGCAACCGACUUGUGCGAAAGGAGGGAACGUGUGGGUCUGCCAGGGUCCUGCAGGGGGGAUGAGACCCUCGCUCCGCUCCGGCGAUCCCUUCGCUCUCCACCCUCGGCCAGCCCCUCCUGUCCUCCAUCAGGCCUCGCUGAGGAUACCUCCUGGGUUCCAAAGCGCGAGUUGAACCUGAGCUUGACAUUCAUUCCGUCUCGUACAAAAGCCAUGCCUGCGGGGAGAGGGAGAAAAUUUCCUACAGGAGCCUCAAGACUGCGUUUCAGGAAGCCCUAGGACCCACUGAUCCUGCAGCUGCGCCUCUCACUCGCCUCAGGGGAUAAACUCAAGGAAGAAAUGGACAUAGCUGUUGAGAAGAGAUGGGGAUUUUCUCAUAAGCCAUGCUACUUU
ensembl:lncRNA LINC00506 long intergenic non-protein coding RNA 506